GACGAACGUUGGCGGCGUGCUUAAUACAUGCAAGUCAACUGAAGCAGUGGUAGCAAUCUCGCUGUGGAGGUGGCGCACGGGUGAGUAACACGUAGGUAAUCUGCCUUCAGGUCUGGCAUAACUCCGGGAAACCGGGGCUAAUAGCAGAUGAUGCAGCGGCUCGACAUCGAGACAGUUGUUAAAGCUAUGGCGCCUGAAGAUGAGCCUGCGUCUGAUUAGCUAGUUGGCGGGGUAACGGCCCACCAAGGCAACGAUCAGUAGCUGGUCUGAGAGGAUGAUCAGCCACACUGGAACUGAGACACGGUCCAGACUCCGACGGGAGGCAGCAGUAAGGAAUAUUGCUCAAUGGGAGAAAUCCUGAAGCAGCAACGCCGCGUGAGGGACGAAGGGCUUUUGCUUGUAAACCUCUGUAGUGAGAGAAAAAAAUCCCAAUCUUUGGGACAUGAUGGUAUCUCAAAAGUAAGCCCCGGCUAACUACGUG
rnacentral:rRNA from 1 species